rnacentral:rRNA from 1 species
AGAUUAGCCMUGCAUGUCUAAGUAUAAGCAACUUGUACUGUGAAACUGCGAAUGGCUCAUUAAAUCAGUUAUCGUUUAUUUGAUAGUACCUUACUACAUGGAUACCUGUGGUAAUUCUAGAGCUAAUACAUGCUAAAAACCCCGACUUCAGGAAGGGGUGUAUUUAUUAGAUAAAAAACCAACGCCCUUCGGGGCUCCUUGGUGAAUCAUAAUAACUUAACGAAUCGCAUGGCCUUGCGCCGGCGAUGGUUCAUUCAAAUUUCUGCCCUAUCAACUUUCGAUGGUAGGAUAGUGGCCUACCAUGGUGGCAACGGGUAACGGGGAAUUAGGGUUCGAUUCCGGAGAGGGAGCCUGAGAAACGGCUACCACAUCCAAGGAAGGCAGCAGGCGCGCAAAUUACCCAAUCCCGAUACGGGGAGGUAGUGACAAUAAAUACUGAUACGGGGCUCUUUUGGGUCUCGUAAUUGGAAUGAGAACAAUUUAAAUCCCUUAACGAGGAACAAUUGGAGGGCAAGUCUGGUGCCAGCAGCCGCGGUAAUUCCAGCUCCAAUAGCGUAUAUUAAAGUUGUUGCAGUUAAAAAGCUCGUAGUUGAACCUUGGGCCUGGCUGGCCGGUCCGCCUCACCGCGAGUACUGGUCCGGCUGGGCCUUUCCUUCUGGGGAACCUCAUGGCCUUCACUGGCUGUGGGGGGAACCAGGACUUUUACUGUGAAAAAAUUAGAGUGUUCAAAGCAGGCCUUUGCUCGAAUACAUUAGCAUGGAAUAAUAGAAUAGGACGUGUGGUUCUAUUUUGUUGGUUUCUAGGACCGCCGUAAUGAUUAAUARGGAUAGUCGGGGGGCGUCAGUAUUCAGCUGUCAGAGGUGAAAUUCUUKGGAUUUGCUGAAGACUAACUACUGCGAAAGCAUUCSCCAAGGAUGUUUUCAUUAAUCAGGGAACGAAAAGUUAGGGGAUCGAARAMSAUCVRAUACCGUCGUAGUYCUUAACCAWRAACUAUGCCRACWARGGAWYGGACGGAUUCYAWAAUGGCCCGUYCGGCCACUUUAMGARAAAUYRAADUUUUUKGGUCUGGGGGGGGAKUWWKGSCCGAAGGCUKGARA